GACGAACGCUGGCGGCGUGCUUAACACAUGCAAGUGGAGCGACGAACCCUUCGGGGGGCAAAGCCGCGAACGGGUGAGUAACACGUGGGUAACCUGCCCCGAUGACUGGGACAACCCGGGGAAACCCGGGCUAAUACCGGAUGUGGUGUUCACACUCAAGUGUGAUUAUCAAAGGUAGCUUCGGCUUCCGCAUCGGGAGGGGCCCGCGGCCCAUUAGCUUGUUGGUGAGGUAACGGCUCACCAAGGCUGCGAUGGGUAGCUGGUCUGAGAGGACGAUCAGCCACACUGGGACUGAGACACGGCCCAGACUCCUACGGGAGGCAGCAGUGGGGAAUCUUGCGCAAUGCGCGAAAGCGUGACGCAGCAACGCCGCGUGAGGGAAGACGGCCUUCGGGUUGUAAACCUCUUUCAGUAGGGACGAAGGCCGGCCGGUGAAUAGCCGUGUCGGUUGACGGUACCUUCAGAAGAAGCUCCGGCUAACUACGUGCCAGCAGCCGCAGUAAAAC
rnacentral:rRNA from 1 species